rnacentral:rRNA from 1 species
GACGAACGCUGGCGGCGUGCUUAACACAUGCAAGUCGAACGCUGAAGACCUGGCUUUUGUUGGGUUGGAUGAGUGGCGAACGGGUGAGUAACACGUGAGUAACCUGCCCUCUUCUUUGGGAUAACGCCCGGAAACGGGUGCUAAUACUGGAUAUUCACUGAUCUUCGCAUGGGGGUUGGUGGAAAGGUUUGUCCUGGUGGGGGAUGGGCUCGCGGCCUAUCAGCUUGUUGGUGGGGUGAUGGCCUACCAAGGCUUUGACGGGUAGCCGGCCUGAGAGGGUGACCGGUCACAUUGGGACUGAGAUACGGCCCAGACUCCUACGGGAGGCAGCAGUGGGGAAUAUUGCACAAUGGGCGAAAGCCUGAUGCAGCGACGCCGCGUGAGGGAUGGAGGCCUUCGGGUUGUAAACCUCUUUCGCUCAUGGUCAAGCCGCAACUGUGGGUUGUGGUGAGGGUAGUGGGUAAAGAAGCGCCGGCUAACUACGUG